rnacentral:rRNA from 1 species
ACUCUUAUUAAACCUAAAGGCGCAAUGAAAGUAAAGGUCCGCCUUGCGCGGACCGAGGGAGGAUGGGCCCGUCCACGGGCGGGCCCCGCACUCCCGGGGCGUCUCGUUCUCAUCGCGAGAAGAGGCGCACCCAGAGCGUACACGCUGGGACCCGAAAGAUGGUGAACUAUGCCUGGUCAGGACGAAGUCAGGGGAAACCCUGAUGGAGGUCCGUAGCGAUUCUGACGUGCAAAUCGAUCGUCGGAACUGGGUAUAGGGGCGAAAGACUAAUCGAACCUUCUAGUAGCUGGUUCCUUCCGA